AUACGUAGGGGGCGAGCGUUGUCCGGAAUGAUUGGGCGUAAAGGGCGCGUAGGCGGCGCGGUAAGUCUGGAGUGAAAGUCCUGCUUUCAAGGUGGGAAUUGCUUUGGAUACUGCCGCGCUUGAGUGCAGGAGAGGUUAUCGGAAUUCCCGGUGUAGCGGUGAAAUGCGUAGAGAUCGGGAGGAACACCAGUGGCGAAGGCGGGUAACUGGACUGCAACUGACGCUGAGGCGCGAAAGUGUGGGGAGCAAACAGGAUUAGAUGCCCUGGUAGUCCACGCCGUAAACGAUGAAUACUAGGUGUAGGGGGUAUCGACUCCCUCUGUGCCGCAGUUAACACAAUAAGUAUUCCGCCUGGGGAGUACGGCCGCAAGGUUGAAACUCAAAUGAAUUGGCGGGG
rnacentral:rRNA from 1 species